GGAUGAACGCUGGCGGCGUGCCUAAUACAUGCAAGUCGAGCGGUAAGGUUCUCACUCUGUACUGAAAUUAAUUUGAGUGUGGUGUGAGAAUACACGAGCGGCGGACGGCUGAGUAACACGUAGGAACGUACCCGAGUGAGGGAUAAGCACCGGAAACGGUGUCUAAUACCGCAUAUUCUCUUUGGAGAAAAGCCCAGCACUUACGAUGCAGUAAAGUUCUAGCGAACUUUAACGUUAUCUGGCUUAGAUCUAAUAAAUAGAUUUUGGUCAAACUUAUGGUCAUAAUGGCGCAAGCCAUUGUCUGUAUCGUAAGUGCUGGGCGCUUUGGAGCGGCCUGCGUCCGAUUAGCUUGUUGGUGAGGUAAAAG
rnacentral:rRNA from 1 species